rnacentral:rRNA from 1 species
CAGCCGCCGCGGGAAUACGAAGGGGGCUAGCGUUGCUCGGAAUUACUGGGCGUAAAGGGAGCGUAGGCGGAUGUUUAAGUCAGAGGUGAAAGCCCAGGGCUCAACCUUGGAACUGCCUUUGAUACUGGACAUCUUGAGUGUGGGAGAGGUAAGCGGAACUCCGAGUGUAGAGGUGAAAUUCGUAGAUAUUCGGAAGAACACCAGUGGCGAAGGCGGCUUACUGGCCCAUUACUGACGCUGAGGCUCGAAAGCGUGGGGAGCAAACAGGAUUAGAUACCCCCGUAGUCCCUGUCUCUUAUAA